CAAGGAGAUGCACUUCCUCUUGGGGAGCAGGGGCAAAGCUAGAGGACCCCUGAGGAAGGGCCAACCAUCAAGGCUGGAAAACCACAGCCCUAAGGACACCCAGGCAGUUUAGACUGGCCACUGCUGCUGUCCUUUUCUAAGACAGUUUCUACAGAACUACAGUUUAGCAGAGAGUUCUUAUGGAUUUUAAGGGGGAUUAAAUAUACAUAACAAAUUCACCAUCUUUACCAAAAAAGUGAAAAAGUGUUUAGUUCAGUGAUACCAAGUACAUUCAUAUUGCCAUGCAACCACCCAUCUCCAGAACUUUUUCAUCUUUCCAAACUAAAACUCUGCCCAUUAAACACUAACUCCCCUUUCCCCACUUCCUCUGGCCACUGGCAAUCAUAUUUCUACUUUUCAUCUCUAUGAAUUUGACUGCUCUAGGUCCAUUAUCUUUUAUAUCAAGACUUCUGGAAGAGGUGACAUCUCCAUCUUUAUCUGACAUAUGAGCAAAAUGAAGCAAAGGGCCAGCAAGAGGGAAAACCUGUAUUGGGCGAAUCGGAACUUGUGAAAGUGCUAGAAAAACAUAAAGCUUUAGGAAAAAUGAAGUUCAACCUGUGGACUGGACUGUGGGCCCUUUGAUAUGGUCUCCAGACAGCACUACCUCUGAGCUCAGAAAUGUCCUGACUUACGUGGAUCAACACAAACAUGCAUGAUCUACAAGAUGACAGAUGAAAUGAAGAGAUCUACAAGACGACAGAUGAAAUGUCAUGCUCUCUCAUGACAACAGAAAUCACCACAGAUCACUAGAAACAGCCUCCACCUGUGGACACAUUCAAGCGCCCGGGAUCACACCCAUGGUGUUGGGCGAGGCGCACAGUUCAGCCCUGGCCUAAGCAGGAGGCCUUCAUGGGGUCCACAAGGGGCUUUUCUUCAGAAUGUCUAAACAGACACAAAACAAGAGGAAAAGGAAAAUAACCAGCAGCAGGAAUUUAUAAGAAUGACCUUUUAUCUACUGAAAAAGGAUUUGUGUCCGUUUUAUCACAUUUCUGAUUAUAUUGAAUACUUUCACUGUCCAGGGCAUUUUGUCUGCGUUGGAAACUCCAGAAAAGUAAAAUACAAUCCCUGCCCUCAAUGUGCUUAUAUUUGGUGUGUAUUUUUGUGUGUGUGUGUGUAUGCUAUACCUAUGUAUGUGCAUGUGUAUCUAUGCCUGAGGGUGU